rnacentral:rRNA from 1 species
AUUGAACGCUGGCGGCAGGCCUAACACAUGCAAGUCGAGCGGAUGAAGGGAGCUUGCUCCUGGAUUCAGCGGCGGACGGGUGAGUAAUGCCUAGGAAUCUGCCCGGUAGUGGGGGAUAACGUCCGGAAACGGGCGCUAAUACCGCAUACGUCCUGAGGGAGAAAGUGGGGGAUCUUCGGACCUCACGCUAUCAGAUGAGCCUAGGUCGGAUUAGCUAGUUGGUGGGGUAAAGGCCUACCAAGGCGACGAUCCGUAACUGGUCUGAGAGGAUGAUCAGUCACACUGGAACUGAGACACGGUCCAGACUCCUACGGGAGGCAGCAGUAGGGAAUAUUGGACAAUGGGCGAAAGCCUGACGCAGCCAUGCCGCGUGUGUGAAGAAGGUCUUCGGAUUGUAAAGCACUUUAAGUUGGGAGGAAGGGCAGUAAGUUAAUACCUUGCUGUUUUGACGUUACCAACAGAAUAAGCCCCGGCUAACUUCGUG